GACGAACGCUGGCGGCGUGCUUAACACAUGCAAGUCGAACGGAAAGGCCCUGCUUUUGUGGGGUGCUCGAGUGGCGAACGGGUGAGUAACACGUGAGUAACCUGCCCUUGACUUUGGGAUAACUUCAGGAAACUGGGGCUAAUACCGGAUAGGAGCUCCUGCUGCAUGGUGGGGGUUGGAAAGUUUCGGCGGUUGGGGAUGGACUCGCGGCUUAUCAGCUUGUUGGUGGGGUAGUGGCUUACCAAGGCUUUGACGGGUAGCCGGCCUGAGAGGGUGACCGGCCACAUUGGGACUGAGAUACGGCCCAGACUCCUACGGGGGGCAGCAGUGGGGAAUAUUGCACAAUGGGCGGAAGCCUGAUGCAGCAACGCCGCGUGCGGGAUGACGGCCUUCGGGUUGUAAACCGCUUUCGCCUGUGACGAAGCGUGAGUGACGGUAAUGGGUAAAGAAGCAACGGCUAACUACGUG
rnacentral:rRNA from 1 species